GUAGAUGGAUGCUUCGAUAUAUAGUAUAUUACAGUAUCAAUCGGAUUUACAUGCUCAGCCGCCAAAAA
rnacentral:sRNA from 1 species